UACUGAGGCUGAUGGGGUUUUGUUUACUUUUCUGAUGAGAUGCCGAUUUACCUGUUUUGGAGAACCACUUACUCUGUGUUCUCUGGGUGUGGUUUCACUGUUGCAGAACAGAAUUGGAGGCAUGAAUGAGUCCAGAGCAGAUGCGUGCAACUGAGCAAACCAUUUUGCCAUUGCUCUUCCUUGGAAUGAUAUUCCACAUGCCGGGAUUUCAAAUGAGUUUAAUACACAUUUUCUUGAUUAAUGGAAAAUGGCAGAGUGUAGGAGACUGAAACAGUUCGUGCUUUGCUUGAUUAAUUAAUAAGGGACUCUCUUUUCCCAGCUUCGACUCAUUAUGCUAAUGAAGUGUCAUCAAUUAAGGCUUUCCCUUGAUUAUUGAAUCUGUCAGGUAGCGCUCAGUGAAAAUGCUGCAUUCCUUUGCUGUCUGGGUGGAAUUGCCAUUAUAGCUUUUUAUGAACUGCUCCUUCCAUUAGCUGCUGUUUGUUCUAUUUUCUCAUUAUUGUGUCCUUUUUUUUUUUUGACCUCAAGAAAGGUGAUUAUGGAAACCUUGGAAUGAACUGGAAAAUGUUAUCUCUGGGAAUGUGGAUAAAGAAAAUGUAGUAACAGAAAUAUAUACACCAUUCUUCAUUCAGAACUCACUUGUAAUUAUUAAUGAUAUAGUAAAAAAUGAAUCAAAAGAAUACGGUGAACUUUCUGAAGUAAGUCUUUGACAUUAGAUUAGAUAAACAGUUCAGAAAUAAGUGGUCAUUAACAAUUUCUCACCCUACUAUUCAAAUUAAACUUUGAGAGAAAGGGUUUUUCCUAAGGGAAAUAUCCUGAGAACAAAAGAGUGUGUAUUUAAAUAUUUUAUUAUCUUCAUGUAAAGUUCUAAUUUGUUGACAAAUAUUACUUGGAUUUGGGUCUGAGGAAAGGUGACAAAAUGUAAAAAGAAUAGAAUAUAACCAAGUACUGCCUCUAGGUUAAGUUUAGGAAACAAACAUUUUUAUGUCUUAGUGGCCUUUGCUCUUCAGCACUGAAGAUGAGGCCUUUGGUAUGAAUGAAUUCUGGGUACUCAUGUUGCUGAAUCCACUCAUUAGGGAACGUCGUACUUUAAGUUAGGUAGUACCCAUUAAUGAGUGACUAUUAAGCCAUCUAUAAACGUUGUAAGUAAUGAAAGACCUCAGUAAUGCAUUUACAAUCACCCAUUCCAGCUCUGUUUUGGUAACUGACAUCUUGAGGGAACAAGAGUAAUGGAUUUGUCUAAUUUUCUCAUUUCACUUAACCUAAAGUAAGAAACAGUUUUAUAGUUUUAUGAAACAUCUCUGGCCUUGGGGGAAAAAUUUAAACCAGUAGGUGUCAUCUGUUUAAUUAAUCCAUCAAUGUCUCAGUUUCCCUAACGGUAGAAUGAGGAGAUAAUGUUCAUUCAUGGGUAGUUUCCUAGAGAUUUGGGGUAUAAAUAAAUGGGAAAGAAAAUGGCACACUUUACUACUUGCUUUUAGGGAACACAUUUAUAUUCUGGUGUUGUGGGUUUUAAAAUUAGAGGAAGACAUUUGAUAGAGUUUAUUGCAGAGUGUAUUGAUGCUUAGUUACCCACAUCAGUUAUACUAAAGUUUAAUUCUCUUUGCAGAGAGCAUUCUUUUUCUCUGCUUUCAGGAAUAAUGUUUCCACUUCAGUGGAACUCUACAUGUGCUGUCUUCGGGUCACAGCUUUUAACUCUCUCCUGUGUCCCAAACCUGCAACAGUGCUGAGGGAAGACCGAUUCAUAAAGAGAAUGAAGUAUGCAGCUGAGCAGAAGCAGUAUUGACCGCCUCAACAUGGAGUACCUGUAUUAUCUUCUCAGAUUCUGAUGCCUUUCUUCAUGACUGCAAGCUCUCCAACAGUUGUCUGAUGAGGAAUCCAAGAAAUAUUUUUUAUCUCAGUCAAACCUCAUCAGUACCAUCAUAUCUGACUCCUCAAGAAUUCCUCCUUCUUCACUUACAAGCCCCGAUGCUAGGAAGAUAUGAGAGUUCUUUGGAACUGUCUUAAGUCACCAACCAAAACUGGAUCAUUCAG